rnacentral:rRNA from 1 species
AUAUUGGUCAAUGGGUGAGAGCCUGAACCAGCCAUGCCGCGUGCAGGAAGACGGCCUUCUGGGUUGUAAACUGCUUUUGUCAGGGGAUAAAACGCCCAUGCGUGGGAGAUUGAAGGUACCUGACGAAUAAGCCACGGCUAACUACGUGCCAGCAGCCGCGGUAAUACGUAGGUGGCGAGCGUUGUCCGGAUUUAUUGGGUUUAAAGGGUGCGUAGGCGGCCACUUAAGUUUGGUCUUAAAGACUGGGGCUCAACCUCAGGAAUGGAUCGAAUACUGGGUGGCUAGAGGACGUCAGAGGAAGGUGGAAUUCCCAGUGUAGCGGUGAAAUGCGUAGAUAUUGGGAGGAACACCAGUGGCGAAAGCGACCUUCUGGGACGUUCCUGACGCUGAGGUUCGAAAGCUCGGGGAGCAAACAGG